rnacentral:rRNA from 1 species
UUGGAAGAAUUUGAUCCUGGCUCAGGAUGAACGCUGGCGGCGUGCCUAAUACAUGCAAGUCGAGCGAACAGAUAAGGAGCUUGCUCCUUUGAAGUUAGCGGCGGACGGGUGAGUAACACGUGGGUAACCUACCUAUAAGACUGGGAUAACUUCGGGAAACCGGAGCUAAUACCGGAUAACAUUUAGAACCGCAUGGUUCUAAAGUGAAAGAUGGUUUUGCUAUCACUUAUAGAUGGACCCGCGCCGUAUUAGCUAGUUGGUAAGGUAACGGCUUACCAAGGCGACGAUACGUAGCCGACCUGAGAGGGUGAUCGGCCACACUGGAACUGAGACACGGUCCAGACUCCUACGGGAGGCAGCAGUAGGGAUCUUCCGCAAGGGCGAAAGCCUGAGGAGCAACGCCGCGUGAGUGAGAAGGUUUCGGCUCGUAAAACUCUGUUAUGGGAAACAAAGUGUAAUAACUGUGCAUACUGCGGUCCUAACGAAAACCGAGCCAAACC